rnacentral:rRNA from 1 species
UACGUAGGGGGCAAGCGUUGUCCGGAUUUACUGGGCGUAAAGCGCGUUCAGGCGGUUUGGCAAGUCGGGCAUGAAAUCUCUCGGCUCAACCGGGAGAGGUUGUCCGAUACUUCCAGACUUGAGGGCAGUAGAGGGUGGUGGAAUUCCGGGUGUAGUGGUGAAAUGCGUAGAUAUCCGGAGGAACACCAGUGGCGAAAGCGGCCACCUGGACUGCACCUGACGCUGACACGCGAAAGCUAGGGGAGCGAACGGG